rnacentral:misc_RNA from 1 species
AAAAAAAUGGCAUUAAAAAUAAGAGGAAAAAUACAAUAAAAUGAAAUAAAUAAAAUAUUAAUUAGUUUUCCCUAAACCAACUUCUGAAUUUAAUCCACUGAAAUUCUAAAAUUUUGAUAUGCAACCUUACAAGGAUGCGUGUUGAUCAUGUUACCAGCAUCUCUCAUUCAGUCUUUUUUUUCUCCUACUAUAUAUGGUGUGAUUGAUUGCAUGAUUUAUGAAACAGAAGUUAAUAGAUCAGAAGAAGCUAGCAAUUGAAAUGGACAGGGAACUAUUCCUUGAAUAAU